CGCACAUUGCGCCCUUUGGUAUUCCGAAGGGCAUGCCUGUUCGAGCGUCAUUAUCACCCCUCAAGCCCCCGGCUUGGUGUUGGACGGUCUCGGUCGGUGGCCUCGCCCCGACCCCUCCCAAAGAUAAUGACGGCGGCCUCGUGGGACCCCCGGUACACUGAGCUUCUUCAUUGAGCACGUACUGGAUCUAGGGUCGCCGAGCCCCGGUCGACGACGCCUCUUGAGGUGUCUUCUUUCUAGGUUGACCUCGGAUCAGGUAGGAAUACCCGCUGAACUUAA
rnacentral:misc_RNA from 1 species